ACCGUGGUGCCGAGUGCCUGCUGCCUUGGGCCGCCUUGAACCUCCAGGGUUUCCAGCUCCUCCUCCUUCACCCCAGUGCCACUGCCAUGAUGGAUGUGAGUGAACUUGGGGAGUCUGCCCGCUACCUCCGCCAGGGCUACCAGGAGAUGACGAAGGUGCACACUAUCCCAUGGGACGGGAAGAAGCGAGUCUGGGUGCCUGAUGAACAGGACGCCUACGUGGAGGCCGAGGUCAAGUCGGAGGCUACCGGGGGCAGAGUCACCGUGGAGACCAAAGACCAGAAGGUGCUGAUGGUGCGUGAAGCCGAGCUGCAGCCCAUGAACCCGCCUCGCUUCGACUUACUGGAGGACAUGGCCAUGAUGACGCACCUGAACGAGGCCUCUGUGCUGCACAACCUGCGCCAGCGCUAUGCCCGCUGGAUGAUCUAUACCUACUCAGGCCUCUUCUGUGUCACCAUCAACCCCUACAAAUGGCUCCCAGUCUAUACGGCCUCCGUGGUGGCCGCUUACAAGGGAAAGCGCCGCUCAGAUUCCCCGCCCCAUAUAUAUGCGGUGGCAGACAACGCCUACAACGACAUGCUGCGCAACCGAGACAACCAGUCCAUGCUGAUCACGUGAGUGUGGGGCACUGGGGGUGGGGUGGAAAAUGCUGGCCAUCUGGCAGAAAGAGGGCGGUACCACAGUCAUUUCCCAGGAUUGAAUCCAAAGUGCUUAGGCCAGGACUUUUACCACCUGGAGCUAGUGUCCCAGCUGAAGCUAAAUUAGGCCUGAGCACUUUCCCUGCCCCCAUUCUGAACAGAUGUGUUCUUGAUGGGGGAUAGGGAGGGGACACCCACAAACGGAGUGACCACCAGCCCCACACCUCCUCUCCCCGGGGCCUGGAAUCUCCCACCUUGAUGCUUUGGGGUUCUAAUUCUGGCUCAGGGGCAGCGGAAAGAUUCCUCUGCUUUUCCUCCUUUUUACCAUCGACUUAUGUCUGAAUCUUACCUCUGAUCUUUCCAUUGCCUCUGUGGGAAAAUGGUAGAAUAAUUCUUACAUGCCAGGCUCAUGUCCAGUCAGGCCAAUAUGGACAAUGUUUAGUGUGAGCGUGCAUGCGCGUAUGCAGUUAAGAGCAAGUGCCUUGGCCGGGCGCAGUGGCUCAUGCCCGUAAUUUCUGCACUUUGGGAGCCUGAGGUGGGUGGAUCACUUGACAUCAGGAGUUCGAGACCAGCCUGGCCAACAUGGUGAAACCCCAUCUCUACUAAAAAUACAAAAAAUUAGCCGGGCGUGGUGGCAGGUGCCUGUAAUCCCAGCUACUCAGGAGGCUGAGGCAGGAGAAUUGCUUGAACCCAGGAGGCGGAGGUUGCCGUGAGCCAAGAUCACGCCACUGCACUCCAGCCUGGGCCACAGAAUGAGACUCCAUCUCAAGAAAAAAAAAAAAAAAAAAAAGCAGGUACCUUUAACCCAGACGGGCCCGGCUGAGUGUGGUGGCUCACACCUGUAAUCCCAGCACUUGGGGAGGCUGAGGCAGGAGGAUUGCCUGAGGCCAGGGGUUUGAGACCAGCCUGAGCAACAUAGCGAGACCCCAUCUUUACC
rnacentral:sRNA from 1 species